GACGAACGCUGGCGGCGUGCUUAACACAUGCAAGUCGAACGGAAAGGCCCGGCUUUUGUUGGGUGCUCGUGUGGCGAACGGGUGAGUAACACGUGAGUAACCUGCCCUUGACUUUGUGAUAACUUCAGGAAACUGGGGCGAAUACCGGAUAGGAUCUCCUGCUGCAUGUGGGUGGUUAGAAAGUUUCGGCGGUUGGGGAUGGACUCGAGGCUUAUCAGCUGGUUUGUCGGGUAGGUGCUGACCAAGGCUUUGACGGGUAGCCGGCCUGAGAGGGUGACCGGCCACAUUGGGACUGAGAUACGGACCAGACUCCUACGGGAGGCAGCAGUGGGGAAUAUUGCACAAUGGGCGGAAGCCUGAUGCAGCAACGCCGCGUGCGGGAUGACGGCCUUCGGGUUGUAAACAGAUUUCGCCUGUGCCGAAGAGUGAGUGACGGUAAUGGGUAAAGAAGCAACGGCUAACUACGUG
rnacentral:rRNA from 1 species